rnacentral:tRNA from 1 species
GCGGGUAUGGUGUAGUGGUAGCACACGACCCUUCCAAGGUCUUGGCGUCGGUUCGAAUCCGAUUACCCGCU